rnacentral:rRNA from 1 species
GAUGAACGCUGGCGGCGUGCCUAAUACAUGCAAGUCGAGCGAACAGACGAUGAGCUUGCUCCUCUGACGUUAGCGGCAGGCGGGUGAGUCACGCGUGUAUAACCUCCCUAUAAUUCGGGUAUAACCUCGGAACACCGGAGCUAAUACGAUAGAAUAUAUUGCACCGCGUGGGUCAUUGGUGAGUAACGGCUUUGCUGGCUCUAAUAGAUGCUUCCGCGCUGCAUUAGCUAGUAGUUACGGUAACGGGCUACCAAGGCAACGAUGCGUAGCCGACCUGAGAGGGUGAUAGGCCACACUGGAACUGAGACACGGUCCAGACGCCUACGGGAGGCAGCAGUAGGGAAUCGUCCGCAAUGGGCGAAAGCCUGACGGAGCAACGCCGCGUGAGUGAUGAAGGUCUUCGGAUCGUAAAGCUCUGUUAUUAGGGAAGAACAAAUGUGUACGUAACUAUGGACGUCUUGACGGUACCUAAUCAGAAAGCAACGGCUAACUACGUG